rnacentral:lncRNA from 1 species
GGUAAUCACUUUUAAUUGAUCUUUUCCAAUGAUAGUUGCCUCCUAUUAGAGAUAUGAGAAUAUUAUUGUUUCUCAUGCUAUUGUUUAUCAUCAUUUUUGUUAUCUCGCUAAGCUCUGCGAAUCUGCUUCGGUGUGACAAUAUACUUUGCCGAGGACCACUAUAUCUACGAAGUAACUGUUGUGAAACUCACAUCUGUGUAUACAGCUACUUCCCCGCCACCCCACAUCUCCUGAUAUGUGUCAAUUCCAGAGAGAGGUUAAGAGUUUUAACAUUCGAUGACAUUAUGGCAUCCUCAAGAAUAAACUCUUACUAUUAUAAUCGCUAAAAAUAAGACAAAACUUCCAGCAUAUACGAGCUAUGUGGUUAAGCAAUAUUUGUUUUUUAAUAUUUCAACAUUUUAAUCAUGUUCAUACAUUUAAAAUCAUAAUAGAUUUAGCUUGUUAAAUCAAAUUAGAAGGUGUAAGGUUAGUAUACUAUCCAUUAAAUUUCUAUGACAUGAGGAAGUAAGGGCUAUAAUUAUUUCGUAAAUUAUUUUGAAAAGUUUUUAAAAUGAUGGAAUUGCAAAAAUGAACAGUCGUAUGUUUUUGGUCUGUCGAGAAUCAUGAAGUUUGCUAAAAUAAAUGGUUUUUUCCCGUAUAUUAAGAUUCUUGAUCAAUAUAUCUCAGACGUAUUCAACUGGUUAUUUUACUUAUAAAUAAGCUGAUUUCAGAUUGUUAUAACAUUCUUGAUUACUUUAGAGUUUCACUAUUUAUGUAGAAUACACCUUACUCUAGUUAGUAAUAUCAUCAGCUCUACAUAGAUCAAAGGGAUAUAUUCAUGUGGGCCAUACAAGAUCUAAGGCUAUCCCCUCAGGCUCUACAUGGGAAAUGCACUCAAUACCUCUUCCAGCGGUAUGUGCUAAUAUAUCAAACAUUGCAGGGGCUCAAGGACCUCUUGUUGUCAAAGGUAUUGGAGAAGCAUAAUAGAAGCAACUAGUAUAGUUACGAACUAGGACAAUCCCAAGGUUAAUCAUUUGAUCUAAGUUCUAUGACGGCUACAACAUAAGGGUACCUUCUCUAGCUAUACCAUAACCAACGCAGUUAACAUUAAAUUAUAUUAGUGAUACGCUUACUUUUUGCUAAUACAAUUCUAUUCAUAGAACUAUUGUACGUAGUUUACUAAAUUCGGGGUUAAAGGUUAAUAAUAGGGUCUUACAAAAAAUUUAAUGCUUCCAUUAUUAUAUACCAUGUGUUAUCUGCAUAUAAAACGAUAUGAUAAAUAACAAUUAUAUAUAAUAAGAUAUUUAUGACACCAAUGGCAGUUAUGUAACCCGUAAUAUUUAUUAUAAUAAUUUUCAUUCUGAUGUAAAUAAGCUAAAGAAAAUAAUGUCUUUAAAACGUAAUUAUUUUAUGUUAGCAUGCCAAAAAGAUAUGAUUGAAGCUACUGUAUGUGGUGUAAGUUUAAUGCUAGGUAUUUCUAAAACAUUUUGGCAUUCACAUCUUACACUACUUUUCUAUUGUCUCCGAGAAUUUUUUCCCAUACUGUUAUGAGUGUAUAUUAAAAGAUUGUUAAAACUACAAAACAGACCAUCAUGAUUAAAAUAUAACGAAGGUAAUUAUGUCAUAAUCAAAUAAAAUCUGCCAAUAUAAAUUGA